rfam:Triticum aestivum genome assembly, contig: Triticum_aestivum_CS42_TGACv1_scaffold_005639_1AL
UAUGUACUCCCUCCGUUCGGAAAUACUUGUCGUAGAAAUGGUUGUAUCUAGACUUGUUUCAGUUCUAGAUACAACCAUUUUUAAGACAAGUAUUUCUGAAGGGAGGGAGUACAUU